UUUGGACAGGACGCCCACCGAAAACUUAGCGUGGACAAGUCGUUCAUUUGCAACUAGCCCUCCCCCCCAAAAAAAAGUCGUGCAUUUGCAACUGCUCCUCAUCCUCUCUCCCUCGACGGACCCUCAUCCUCACCGCCAUGGCUCCGCCUCCGCCUCCGGCUACGGACGAACGAACCGUGUCUGCCGGAGACACGCACGAAGCCGGCACAUGUGUGGUGGUGCUCGCCGUCGGUCCGUCUCUUGGUGCGACCAAGUGCUUGCAUGUUUACAUGAGUAGGUAUGAUAUGGAUCGAGCCGAGGAUUCACCACACAACCUUCGGUUUCCCAGUUUCUCUGCUCUGGUUUGCCGAUGGAUGGAGACGAGCUUCUUUCUUCUGGCCGGUAGAUCUGGUUAUGAUCCACAAAUUCGGUUUUUGAUCUGCUACCGUACGUAUAAUAUGUCUUCCCUCCAUCUCGUGCAUGGAAGUAUGUUUGUGUUGGAGACGGCCGGUGAUGGACACGGAUCUCAUCACACGAUUCACAGUCUAGGCUUUCGAGAUGCAAGCAAUUUUUUAUUCGACAAAGGGUUAGGCGAAUACCACGACCCCCUAAGUUUCCGAUCCUUUUCACUCGAAACUCUCUCGCCGGCCGGCAUCAACAGGCGCAAUACAAGGUCGAUCUACCAGUUGGAGCUAAUUAAUGGUGUUGCCCUGCCCCCGCCUGUUACGGGGCAGAGCUUUCGGCCGUCGGCCAAGGUUUCUGUCCAACAGUUGGUGUCCAACACCGGCGGAGAGAAAACGACCUUGGACAAGAACUAAAAAGCUAUCAAGAUCCUAAUGGUGUGGCGACGCGUGACACCCUGCCGGUUAGGGUACAAGAUCUUUCUUCACAUGGCCACCAGCCAACAUAGCAGUUGGUGUCGACCACUAGCGGAGGAAAAAAGCAACUCAAGCCAUCGAUGUUUUCGUUUGCUGCACUACCUGUGUUCCUAUGUUUUUAAGGCGUCCGUAAGGCGACGCCUAGGCGUCGAGGCGCCCCCCCAGCGCUUUGCAAAUAUGCCCGCUUUAGGCGCCUAGGCGUCGAGGCGCCCCCCCAGCGCCUUAAAGCGAAGCAUCGCCUUAAAAACACAGAACACAGUGUGUUCUGCUGGGCGCUUGAUCAUGUUGCCAGAUUCCUAAGGCGUAACUUUGCUUACUCAUCUUUCUAUAGGAUACUUGGAAGAACCUUGUUUUUGGGUGGAGACAAACAAUACCACACUCAGCCUCCUCUAAUCAAAUGCCGAAGUUGCGUGGGGGUUCCUUCUGAUAAUAUCGUUGUUCUCGUUGGCACCGCAACAUCAUUCUGACAUUCAGACAUUAUGGCUUCAUCCCACACGUCAAGCACUUCCUCUGCCAAAGUAACCAUGCGUGCAUCCCUUGCUUCCUGGAGUAUUACUGCUGUCUACGGGCCUCAAUCCGUUGCGGAUAAGUUUGCCUUCAUCCAAGAGAUCAAACAACUAAAGGCCUCCAUGCUACCUUCUUGGCUGUUGCUGGGGCACUUCAAUCUCAUAUGUUAAGCUAAGGACAAAAGCAGUGCUAACAGGAGGCUGCUUAACUCCUUCAGGGCAGUUCUCAACGCAAUUGAGGUCUCUGAACUCUGGCUGCACGGUUGGCGGUUUACUUGGGUCAGCACCUGUCAGUCGCAAACAAGGACGGAGAUUGAUCACGUUUUCUGCACCGCUGACUGGAAUCUUAUGUUCCCAUAAUGUCACCUGAGAGCCAUCUCCUCUGUCUCCGAUCACUGUGCCAUGGUGCUCUCUGGCCAGGUCAGCCAACACCAUUUCAGAGGGUUCCGAUUUGAGGAAUACUGGUUCAAGCUCAGGGGCUUCACUGAGGCUACUCAUGAUCCGCCCCAUCAAAGUGCUUUCAUUCAGUCCCGUUCCAUCAAACUGCUACAUACAAAUAAAGAUGAUGCUCUGAUGCUUAAACUGGACAUUGUCAGUGCCUUUCACUCUGUUUCGUGGGGGUUCUUUAUUGAGCUGAUGCAACGACUGGGAUUCGGCCGCAAAUGGUGUGAUAUGAUCAGCCUGCUGUGGUGUUCAUCCUCUUCAAGGGUCAUGGUUAAUGACGAGCUGGGCGACAGAUUCUUCCAUCAGCGGGGCCUUAGGCAAGGAGAUCUGCUGUCUCUAAUGCUAUUCACGAUUGCAAUCGCGCCGCUACACUGGAUGUUGCUGAAGGCCAGCUCCUCCGGUCCCCUCUCGUGCUCGCGCCUUCCUCCCUCUCAACUGAGAGUGAGUCUUUAUGCAGACCACGCUGCACUGUUCGUAGCCCCAACAGCAAGAGAUAUUGAGGUCACAAGGCAAAUUCCAUGUGCUUUUGGUGAUGCUAGUGGUCUUCGGGCCAACCUGGCCAAGAGUGGAAUAUACCCAAUUGGGUGCUUGAACAUCUCUCGCCCCAUCAUCCUGCAGCAGUUUCCCAUACCUGUGUGCAAUUCCGCUGCAAAUACUUGGGCCUACCUCUGCACUUCAAGAAAAUUACAAUAGCUGACCUGCAACCGAUUUUGGAUAAGAUAGCAUCUAAGCUCCAGGUUUGGCGAGGUAAGCUUAUGUCCAGCGAUGCCAGGCUGCGGUUACUCAACUCAGUCCUGUCAGCCAUACCCACAUACCUCAUCUCGCUCACCAAAGGUCGAUGUCGGGGCUGCACCGCAUCAACACUCUUCCCCAGCUAUGCCAGUUCACCAAGCUAUGGUCCUUGAUUCAAUAAUUCCAGCUGCAGCCCAACUCUUCGGACUUGAUCAGCUGGAAUGACUCCAUUACCGGCUCCUACUCCGUUCGUUCUGCAUAUCUGACUCAGUUUUGUGGAUCCUAGUGCAACAUCAACUUCAGCAGGCUUUGGAAAUCAAAGGUUGAGCCUCAAUGCCGCUCUUCGGCUGGCUCAUGCUUCGGGGCAGGAUCCUAACCAACGACAACCUCUCUCUCAGCAACAUUCAGUACAACGUUGACAUGUGCAGCCUGUGUGACCAGGAGGAGACGCCGCUGCACCUCAUCCUCAAGUGUUCAUAUGCUAAGCAGGUCUGGUUCCUCGUUGCAGAAUGGUGGUGGCCACCUUGAUCUGGCUGCUCAUGCGGAUGCCGCCACCGCUCUUGUCUCAUGGUGGAAUGAUCUUGUUUUCUGCACACCUGGUGCUAAAGAUCGGGCGGACAGUCAACCCGUACAUCCAUCUCUACGUUCCGUUCCUCCAUACACCCAUUGCCACGGUCCGGCGGUGGUGGCUCAGGUUGCGGGACACGGAGGACGAGAUCAGGAUUGGACUUACGAGGUCUGUGGUGCAAAGAAGAAAAACUUAUAUCUACUAUGUAAGCGUGCACGUGCAACGCACGUCUUUCCCGAUGAUUAUAAACUCUUGCGCUCGAAAGUCAAGUUGAAACAUAGACCUGGUUGUGCGCUUUACUUUCGCCUUCGCCUGAUCAGCUUGAUGACCAUGAGGCGAUUUGUUGACUUUGGUGGUGGAUGUAUCUAGGGGUGCAGAGCGGCGUCCUGCAUAGUCUUGCCAGAGUGUUUAAUUAGCACAAAUUAGACUACACCACCACAGCCUAGCUAGAACAAAGUUUUCCUAAUUAAACACAUUAACGUACGCAUCAUGCGCGACCGCUCGCGUAGUCCACGUCGGAUUUACUGUGCUCGUCGAUUGGGCAAGACGUGCUGUUUCUAUUGGCCAGGAAGUUGGUCCACCUCGUUCCGGUUUGGUCGUCGUGGAUGGAUCGAGAUCCAAUGACAUGCUGUGAGCAUGUCACCAAUGAACAGUAAUGGUAACAUGCGCCCCUCUCUGGACCGCCCGAUCGUGAAUCAACGGAUGGAUGUCAACUAAACAGUGCCGGAUCUACAGUAUUUUGUCUACAGUACCCCUUCUACAGUGUUCUUUGCUACGGUACCAUCCACAGUGUUUCUCCGCUACAGUAUUUAAUCUGGACCGCCCCCCUUGCAUCCAACGGCUGUCGGCCCGCAUGUUACGGCGUGACUGCCUGUGGGCAUGUCACCGGAUCCCUGUCCUGUUGGUCCACCUCGCGUGAUGGGUGGAGCAGAGCACGCAACCUUCUAUCCUCUCCUCUUCCACACGCAACCUCUCUGCCUAUGCCCUCCGCCGCCGCUUUGCCUCAUCUUGGUGGCGAGCAAGAAGAAGCGCAAAGAUGGGGCGGAUCUGGGUGACGGCUCCCGUGCCACCUCCCCGGAACGAGAGAUCUCGCCGUCGUGAUCUCCCCGCACGGUGCGGUGUUGGUGAACGGCGACGGGGCCCUUGACGAGGAUGGCGAGGUCGGUGUUGACAACUGCAGCGGGAGGUCGUCAGAUCCGUCGUCGUCACCAUUCCGCUCGAGCUAGUCGUCGUCCACGUGCUCCUCUUGAAGUUCCUCCUCGCCACCACGGGUGGACGCCGGUGAGGCCAGCCUUCCCUCCACGCGUAGGUAAUCCUGCACUCCCCUCGACGCACUCUCCCUUCUCCCGUAUCGUUGUUCCUCCCUUGUCGAUGUCUUCAAGGGUGGGGAAUGACGGUCUCGAACCAGCGAAUCUGCGAGAAACAUCGGAGACAGGAGGUGGGAGGGAACGUAUCUGCGGCAGGAAGUUCUGGGAGAAGCGGAUUGGCGAUAGUGGGAUCUGCGAGGGCAUGUCGUGGUAGGAGGCAGUGCAGAGCGGAUCAACGGCAGCAGCCGACGAGGAGGCAAGAUUCGUCAGUGGCGGUGCUUUUGGAUGGCGGCGGCGCCACUGCGGACGAUGCCAAUAGCAGGGAUAGCGAGCCGGCGUAGUCCGAAGUGUGGAGUGAAGCCGGAUCCGCAAGUGUCCGAGUGGAUUAAAGCCAUACUACGCAAACUGAUACACUCUGGUUUGAGGCAAUUUCUCUGUUAUAAAUGAACCACCGUCUGAUGUUCAUACUAUAUACUCCUAGAUUUUCUUCUUCUUUGCAGCUCUGUCUUUCUUGUCGCCAUGGAAUUUGUUCUUUGUGUUGUCUACACAGUUCAAUGAAAUUGGAAUCUUUCAUCUUAUUCUUUCUUCAGAAAAGUAUUUAUAGAUUGAGGCCUAAUGCAAAAACAUCUCUCUUUACAAACUAUUUCGUAAUAUCUCCUCGGGUGAAACACUGGUCUGUUCAACCAAACGCCCAAUAAGGCCUUUUGACAGGUUCAUCAAUUAACUAUGAAGAAAACCCAGCAAAUAAACUACAUGGCCGCAGGUUACAUGGCUUGUUAAUUCUGAAUAUCAGAGACAGUAAAGCAAGCAAAAAGAAGGGGGUGGUUUAAGUGACACCCUUAUGCAAAAUGUAUCCACUAUGGGGAUAUUAUAAUUUUUAUGACCACUGACAAGCUCAAUUAAUAACAAGCUACUGCUGCAAUAAGGUGUGAUGAACUGAAGGGGAAACCGGGCAUUCUUCCUAACCUUGUGCUGAAGUAUUAAAAUGCCAUCAUAUGCUAGGCUUGCUAUCCCAGUUAGACAUCACCGAUCCUAUGAGUAUACCUUUCUUUUACGCAUCAGAGUAUACUGACAGAGGGGUAAUCUUAUGUCGUUGUUGAAGUCAAAUACUCCAAAGUGCAUAUGCUGAUCCCAGUGGUUACCAUGUCAAAAAGUUCCAAAGGUUCAGUAAUUAACAAAUCAUAUGAGUUGUCGACAAUUGUAAAUCUCUUGGCAGCAACAUGCAUUUUUUUCAUAUCCUAUGUUUGUUGAGUUCUAGAAAUUUUCAACACAGAGAAAUGGACGUGUAUGGUAAAUAUCAUGCCCACUUCAACACUGAAAUGGACUUGUAUAUAUAUGAACUGAGUACUUGAAAUUUUCAACGACAUGGUUCUGCCGCUUCUAAUAUCAACGAGUGUAGUUUUCAAGAAUCAGAAACAGGUUCAUAGCUGCAUAUAAAUUUCGACAUGAUAUACUACCAUGUUUUAGAUUUCUUUUGGACGAUAACCGAGGUGUUUGCUGCAUGGUUGAGUGGGUGUUUCGUGUUUCCGCUCCUAAUUUGACAAGUACUACUCCAUGCAAUGGGUUUCUGACUAAUUAAUCGAGUGAUCAAGUCGGCCUAGAGCUUGCACUACUUCAGUGGCUGACACACGCUAUGGAUUUGUUGAUCUUUUGAUUGCCUUUUUCCUGCAGCAACUGAAAGGAACAAGGCGACUGGGAAAUCCUGGGCUACAUAUCCUUCCUUUCCUUGAUUUUCCUUCCAAAAGCUGAGGAAGAUGCCCUGGUUCUCGUCAAAUGCAAGCUGCACUACUGUCAAAAAGUGUACUCUAUUUUGCAGUGCCAUAACUUGGUAAUCCACCAGAGGGAUAGGUAGAUGGGAGCCGGGGGCGGAGGUGACGCGAUCUACUCGGGAAUAAGAGAAUGCUAUAAUUAUGAUGUCAAAUUGGUCGGCAAAUACUGCUGCUUCUGGAAUCUGAAUGUACACCGCUAUGCAUGUUGCAAGCAAUGAACUCUUCUACAAGAGAAAAUAUCAGGAAGUAACAGCUCACUAUAUUGGAGCUAUUUAAAAGAAUCCAAAUGAGCCCGUGGUCUCUGCUAGAGGAAUGUAUUGUCUUGCAAACUGAAUUGGUUUUCUGGUUCAUGUCUUUGCAUUUUAGUUGCUGGAGAGAUUGUUGGAUAUACUUUGUUGCUUCCAGCCCAUAGAUAAGAAUAUUUCAGUCGCUGGAGAGAUUGUUGAACAUAUGACAUUGAUGCAAAUCUCUGGCCACCUACAAGUGAAACUGCUUGAAGACCAAGUUCGAAUAUGUAUGAGGGUAGUGAAGUUGGGCAUGCGAGUCUACUUGCAGUAUCGCAUCCUGAUGUUAUCAGUCCAGUAGUGAGGGGAAGGUGCCGCCGACGAGGAUGUGGAGGAGGACGAGGUCGAGCCGGGUCGAUGAAGGGUGUUGUGGUUGGCUUGCUGGCCAAGCAGCCACCUCUCUCCUCCUCGUCUUCGACAUCGUGAAGAACGAUGAUGAAAUGGACGCAUGCUGCAGGAGCAGCAGAGACGUUGUGUGAGCCUUGGGUUCUUCAUCGAUUCGUUCGUGCAUGCCCUUGGUCACAUGAACACCUCAGGUACAACUUGCCUCUCGUCUCUCCUCCCUGUUAUGGAUCCGACAUGAGGAUAAAUUGUUGGGACAGUAGGUAAUAUCAGGAUUUUUAUUGUUGUUGCUUCUAUUUACCUUGAUGUUCAUGGUUUUGGUGUAUGGCGUUCACCUUUUACCUGGAUGCCAGACCAAAUAAGAUCUCAACUCAGUUUCUUUAUUUGCAUGUUCAUCUCGUGUAUCAUGAAGAAACUUCAACACUAAACAGAGCAAAGCUAUUAUCUCGUCAAUAGAAGCUAGAGAAAUUAAUCCAUUAUAAUUUUCAUGCAUAUAAUUUAAUCUAAUUUUUAGUUGUGCUAAUUUAAUAACAGUACCAUCUAUACUACUGAUUUGGAGAUAUGUGCAAUACAUCUUUCAGUAAUCAAUAGUACACCUACCUAUGUAUAGUAUGCAUUAACUAGAUUAAUUAACGACAAAUGAAGGAUAUAUUCAAGUCAAGUUACUAAAUAUUCAUGAUGGUAUUUUUUUCCCUGAACUUCUUAUCCAGGAUCAACUGGGAAUUGGAUACUGAAGUGGUUUAGUAAAGCUUCAAAUGCAAUAGUGGCAAACAUCUCCAUUGAUGCUACAAAACGUCUUGAUGAUUUUGAAGCAAGACUCCAUGUUAAUUACAUUACUUUUUUUAUCAUGCCCUAUUGAUUGAAAAGUUACUUAGCCCUAAUCAUCCAUGCUUAAUAAUGAGGAUGGUUUUGGGACUUUGUUUAGCUUUCCAACAUAUGUCUAAAGAAUUAAACUUUUAUAGUUUAUUAGUACAGAGCUAGAUCUCUCACUGUGCUCAUCACAUGUAAUGAAGUCAUAUCACUUGGUUUUCUAGCAAUGGGUCAGCAAGUGGGUCAUGAUGAACCAAUUUAUGUUCUCUCUCUUGCAUUUGCACGAUCAUACUGAGCUGAUCUCUAUUGUAGGUUCCACAGAAGCACUGAAACUUGCUGAUUUUGUAGCCUCCUCGUAGCAGGGCCAGGAGAGCAGCGUCAGUUGGAUCCAGGAGGAGCACCAUUGUGGGAUCCGCUGCGGCCAAGUAUGUCUCUCUUCCUCCCCGUCCUCUUGAUCCACUGCCUCUCUUUGUUUCUGAAUUUCACACUGAAAUUGUAAAGUGAGGCUCAAAAAGAUACAGUGGUUACCAACGGUGACGACGACGACGAAGACUGGCCCAGCAUCUGGGACAGUGGAUGCGUUGAGCUUGAGAUGAAGAUCGGCCACUCCAUCCACGAUCACUGUUCUCCCCUUCUUUUUGUGGAGACGAUUUCAGUAUUCUUUAUCAAUGAUCUUUAGAACCAAGAUGCAUGUAUCACUCGUUCAAUCAAGUGUGUAAUGAUCUUUUAAUUUUGUUCCUGAUGAUUUGAAAUUCCUGGUUUAUCCACGCUC